rnacentral:rRNA from 1 species
UACGGAGGGGGCUAGCGUUGUUCGGAAUUACUGGGCGUAAAGCGCACGUAGGCGGCUUUGUAAGUUAGAGGUGAAAGCCCAGGGCUCAACCCUGGAAUUGCCUUUAAGACUGCAUCGCUUGAACAUCGGAGAGGUAAGUGGAAUUCCGAGUGUAGAGGUGAAAUUCGUAGAUAUUCGGAAGAACACCAGUGGCGAAGGCGGGUCUCUGGACAGUUCCUGACACUGAGGCACGAAGGCCAGGGGAGCAAACGGG